UUGUUAUGCUGCGCCCUGGGAACUGGGCUGGGAUUUCUCCCCCUGCUUCGUGCAGGCAGCUCUGCAGUUUGCCAGGGCGAAGCUGUGGACCUGCCUGCUCGUCAGUAAGCAUCUGCUUACAGAUUGUGCCCUCCCCUCCCCCGUUUUACAUUGUUUUAAUUCAUUACCUUUUUGCAGUCCCCAAGUGACCUCCUUCGGUGCUGGCUCUGCUGUGGUUUGACCACAGCUCUGCAUUAAAGCUGGCUCCUAGUGCUAAUGCGCCCUGCGAGCCAGAGCAACCCUGCCUGGGGGACUGGCCCCCACCGAGCUAAUGCAGAUGCUCUGUUUCCAUGACAGAACCCUGCACACCACUGUUUCUCCAGCACAUCCCUUUUCUGACCCAGGGAAACACAGGAUUGUUUGUGUAACCCCGCUCCACACCUUUGUAAGUAUUACAACCACGCAGUGAUCUCAGAGCCUCCUGGGCAGUGGGAGCUGGCCUUGCGGAGGAGCGGGAAGCAUGGUGCUCUGGUUGUGUAAGUGUGUGUUGUACACGGGCCACAGAAACCCACAAUGUUUCUGUGGUUACUACUGUCUGGAUAGCACGAGUAGGUCCCAGGGCUUCCCCUUCCCACUGCUUACUAAUUCACAAAAGCAGAGGCUUUGUGGAAAAAAAGCUCUGCCCUGUGGCCUUCACCAAAAAUAAAUAAAUAAAGUGCUGUGGAUUAGUCAUCCUCGUUGUUAGAGGAA